GGGUUCCCAGAUGCCGUCAGUGGAAUUCCCAACCUUGGAGGACAGAGAAAUUGCUCUCCAAUAAUGCCCAGUCUAAGAAGUAAUGUUUUCACGAAGAACUAGUGCACCUUCAGAAGACCUGCAGUGGAUAGGGAGUAUGUAAGGGGCUAAUUUUGAUGCCAGCAACCCUAGGAUUGGUUGCUGGGGAAAGGCAUAGAGGUAAGCUGCUAGCCCGAGCUGAGCUGUUUCCUCCAUAGUGCUGCUAACAAGGCUCUGCUUGAUCUCAGUCCUCUGCUGUGUGGCUCCCCACCAUGAAGGCGAGUCUGACUUGUGUACACAAGGUUGAGAAUCCCCAGGCUCCAAUUGCACAGAAACGUGGGCAGGUGUCAUAAUUAGCCAUUUCCUGCCAAAACCCCACAAAUAAGCUACAAUCCUCGAGACAACCCUCUGGAACCUUUUACAGAAUUGUUUGCAGACCAAAUAAUAUUCAUCUGUAACCUGCUUAAUUACCCAAGCCAUAUAUUUAACUGCCCUGGACUUGCUGGUACACAUUUUACAGAGAAUCGGAUGUAAGGGGAGUUAAUGGCAGGAGGGCCUCUAGCCACCAUGUGGAACUCAACAAAGCAGAAACCAAGGCUUGUCUGCCCACAGACUAGUCAGAUGGGUGCGAGGUUGCAGUUUCCUGUUCUAUUCCUUGCCUGUCAAGACCAAUAAACAUGUCAUGAAGUGACCAGAAACGUGUGGAUUUGGAAAGGCAAACGUUGACAUUGAGCACACUGUUUCAAUGGUCUGAGCGGCCUCUCCUGUCUCUCUUGAGGGGAAGUUAAGGCACUAGAUUUUUUAAAAAGUGCAAAACCCCCUUAAAUACCCGGUUUUCCACCUCCUGACAUUUUCCGCACAUCUCAGGAAAUAUAUGAACUAAACGAGUAUUUUCCCCUCUAAAUUAAGAAAAUCAAAUUUGAUGUUAAAAAGUCUAAAUGAUAUUUACUGACUAAUGGAGGCAAGGGCUUGGAUUAUGCUUGCUGAGGACAUAGAUGAAGUCUUUCCUCCCCCUCCUCCUGCCGCUAUCAGCAAGACAUUGAGGGAGCCACUGUGCGUUCUACACUACAAGAGAGAUGCCUGCUGGGGAGAGCGUCCUGUGAUCUGCCAAAAUGUUUAGAGGCGGCACUGUUGGAUAAGCAAUUGUUCGGGUUAUCCGGAGAUUCAUGCAAAUGUAUUUUCAUCACAAAAUUUAUUUUUCUAGGUGCAAUGUUUUAAGGGGAAGACUUACACUAUGAAGCUAGCCCAGAAGAGGGUGACUAGAGUACUGAGGAGUUUCUACCUGGAAGGGCUGUAAGACAACUGCUAUGUUGUGAGCGGCUCUAUGGAGAGGCCCAUGUGGAGGGAAGUGAGGAAGGCCUCUGGCCAACAGUCCAGGAGGAAGUGAAGCCCUCAGUCCAACAGCCUGUGUGGAACUGAACCCUGCAAACAACUCUGUGUGUGAGCUUGGAAGUGGAUCCAUAUUCAGUCAAACCUUGAGAUGGGACACCAUGCUCUGCUAACACUUGAUUGUGGUCCCAGCUAGGCCACUGCUGAAGUCUUGACUCAGAGAAACGAUGAUAUAGUAAAUGUUUGUUGUUUCAAGUUGGUAAGUUUUGGGAUAAUUUUUUAUAUAGUGAUAAUUUUUUAUAUACUUUAAAAUAACACAUUGCCCUAUCCUUUGGUUACACUUUUCUCUUGGAACUCUGCUUGCCCAUAUAUUACAGAAAUAUUUUUCAGAUCAUGGGCUGAAAGGUGGAUUAUGGAUGCAAUGUUUAAAUUUAGCAAUGUCAUUUAUGACUGUUCAUAUGAGCUUUGCUGCAUAAAAUGUUG
ensembl:lncRNA LINC02351 long intergenic non-protein coding RNA 2351